GGAAUAUUGCACAAUGGGGGAAACCCUGAUGCAGCGACGCCGCGUGAAGGAAGAAGUAUUUCGGUAUGUAAACUUCUAUCAGCAGGGAAGAAAAUGACGGUACCUGAGUAAGAAGCACCGGCUAAAUACGUGCCAGCAGCCGCGGUAAUACGUAUGGUGCAAGCGUUAUCCGGAUUUACUGGGUGUAAAGGGAGCGUAGACGGCCAGACAAGUCUGAAGUGAAAAUCCAGCGCUUAACGUUGGAAGUGCUUUGGAAACUGCCGGGCUAGAGUGCAGGAGGGGCAGGCGGAAUUCCUAGUGUAGCGGUGAAAUGCGGAGAUAUUAGGAGGAACACCAGUGGCGAAGGCGGCCUGCUGGACUGCAACUGACGUUGAGGCUCGAAGGCGUGGGGAGCAAACA
rnacentral:rRNA from 1 species